rnacentral:rRNA from 1 species
UACAGAGGGUGCGAGCGUUGUUCGGAAUCAUUGGGCGUAAAGCGCUUGUAGGCGGCCUGUCAAGUCGCGUGUGAAAUCCCCUGGCUUAACCAGGGAAGUGCGCGCGAAACUGGCGGGCUUGAGUGCCGGAGAGGGUCGCGGAAUUCCCGGUGUAGAGGUGAAAUGCGUAGAUAUCAGGAGGAACACCGGUGGUGUAGACGGCUUUCUGGACCGUAACUGACGCUGAGACACGAAAGCGUGGGUAGCAAACAGG